GACGAACGCUGGCGGCGUGCUUAACACAUGCAAGUCGAACGGAAAGGCUCCAGCUUGCUGGAGUACUCGAGUGGCGAACGGGUGAGUAACACGUGGGUAAUCUGCCCUGCACUCUGGGAUAAGCCUGGGAAACUGGGUCUAAUACUGGAUAUGACCUUUCUCCUUAUGGGGUUUGGUGGAAAGUUUUUCGGUGUAGGAUGAGCCCGCGGCCUAUCAGCUUGUUGGUGGGGUGAUGGCCUACCAAGGCGACGACGGGUAGCCGGCCUGAGAGGGAGAUCGGCCACAUUGGGACUGAGAUACGGCCCAGACUCCUACGGGAGGCAGCAGUGGGGAAUAUUGCACAAUGGGCGGAAGCCUGAUGCAGCGACGCCGCGUGAGGGAUGACGGCCUUCGGGUUGUAAACCUCUUUCAGCAGGGACGAAGCGUAAGUGACGGUACCUGCAGAAGAAGCACCGGCUAACUAUGUG
rnacentral:rRNA from 1 species